rnacentral:lncRNA from 10 species
GAUCCAGAACACUUGGGGAAAGAUACUCCUCCGUGAUAGAAGGAGAGAGCUCUCCCCGCCUCCUAGCUUGGACGUUGUCUUGUGAGGACUUGGUGCUAUGUGCUGCAGCUGCACAGAGCUGGCACCAGAAAAAGGAAAGCCAAGAGCAGCCGAUCGCGGGCCCUGACGCCGUGGAAACAGUACAUGAACCACCUCUGGGACUGCCAAUCUCCAGACUUCUGAUGUGCGAUUUGACAUACAAUUAUUCUCAGAAACAAUUUAUUCUGAAUACAUAUUGAAGAAAACUUGAGAUGAAGAUGAGAAGGGAUGAAGAGCUCCAAAGCCCACCCUCAACAUUCCUGACAAAACCUGGGACUUUGGGAAACGGACCAUGGAUGCUCUUUACCUAACUCAAAGACCCAAAAAUGGGUGUGUUGCCUACCUGUGAAGCAGGCCAAGAUGUAAAUAGAAUCUCAUGCUCUUGAACCCAAGAUGUUUGUUUGCAGGCACUUCCUGUGCAAUGACUAUAUUCUUUCUAGAAUCCGAUUUAAGAAAGCUCCCAGAAGGGUCCCGUUCUCCUGCCAUCUGUGAUCCUAACUGCCCAAGCUGGAGCUAUGGAGAAGGAAACCAGCGCUAUUACCGGAGCCCAGAGCUGUUUGUUCUCCAAUAUUUCCACCCCUGAAUUCCCUUGUCAAAGAGCUCAGUGUUGAGAUCCUUCCUGGUUCAUUUGGAAUGAAAUGGUCUGAUGCUGUUGACUUCUUACACAUGUCACAGGAAAUGACCAAACAAGUUGAUGCAUCUUCUGCCAAGAGCUCUUGGGUGAAAAUCGUACGUACUUAGAGAAAGGACCGUGGGUUGCAUACAAGGCCAUAUGAGUGGCUCGUCACUGAGCACAGAGGAAAGGCAAGAAACCCACAUCUGAGUGUGACAAAGCACAUCGUACCCCCCUUUAAAUGGAAUGGAUUGCCUUAUUUUUUUUUAUUUUUUAUUUUUUUUGAGAAGUAGUCUUGCUCUGUUGCGAGGCUGAAGUGCAGUGGCGUGAUCUCACUGCAACCUCCAUCUCCCAGGUUCAAGCGAUUCUCCUGCUUCAGCCUCCCGAGUAGCUGGGACUACAGGUGCGCACCAACAUGCCCAGCUAAUUUUUGUAUUGUUAGUAGAGACGAGGUUUCAUCAUGUUGGCCACGAUGGUCUUGAUCUCUUGACCUCGUGAUCUGUCCGCCUCGGCCUCCCAAAGUGAUAGGAUUACAGGCGUGAGCCACUGCACCCAGCCGGAUUGCCUUUUCUACAGAAAAUGCAUUUACAAGCCCAGGAGAUCUUCACCAUGGGUGAGAUAUGCUUGAAGGACACAGUAUUAGAAAAUGCCAUUUGACAAAAUUUUAAUACAAAGAAAGGUAUUUUUCUUUUCUCUUUUGUUCCCUCUUUCUUUCAGCAAUGCCUAUUAGUGGCAUAAUCCUGCAGGUAUUUAUGCCUGGGUUCAGAACAAUCACCAGAGUUGAGAUCUGUAUGGAACAAAGACCUUCAAGCAUGUGGAAGAGGAUCAGCCCAGCUGAGGGCCAGCAGCAGGACCGCAGGCCAGGACGCAGGUUCUGCUCUGACGUUUGGCCUGCCAGUGUGCCCUCUGCUGUUUUGAAUAUCAAUUGGUUCUUAUGUAGGUUUCACUGCCUGGUUUAUGGAUAAACUAGGAAUUCUUACAACCCAGGAUAGAUGAGCUCUUCAAUCUAAAAAGUAGGGCUCUUGGAUCGUGGAUUUCAAGUUUCUAUGAACUGAACCCGAUGCAUGAGCUCCCUGCACUCAUGGAGACAUGAUUUCCAGUUUUGGACAUUUUCCUACCCAUCUUCCCAUACCAAAGCCUCUGUCUCGAAGCAGUAACCUGUUUCCUGAGACUUGCGAAUUGGUGAGCCACUUCCAAAUGGUGGGGGAGAGAUGGAGCUAACAUGUGAGAUUUGGAUGCUGAGAACAGGGACUCUCUUCCCUGGAAGAUUUCUUGAGAA